rnacentral:rRNA from 1 species
UACGGAAGGCAGCAGUGGGGAAUAUUGCACAAUGGGCGCAAGCCUGAUGCAGCCAUGCCGCGUGUAUGAAGAAGGCCUUCGGGUUGUAAAGUACUUUCAGUCGUGAGGAAGGUGUUAAGGUUAAUAACCUUAGCAAUUGACGUUAGCGACAGAAGAAGCACCGGCUAACUCCGUGCCAGCAGCCGCGGUAAUACGGAGGGUGCGAGCGUUAAUCGGAAUUACUGGGCGUAAAGGGCACGCAGGCGGUUAAUAAGUUGGAUGUGAAAUCCCCGGGCUUAACCUGGGAAUGGCAUUCAAGACUGGUUAGCUAGAGUCUUGUAGAGGGGGUAGAAUUCCAUGUGUAGCGGUGAAAUGCGUAGAGAUGUGGAGGAAUACCGGUGGCGAAGGCGGCCCCUGGGACAAAGACUGACGCUCAUGUGCGAAAGCGUGGGGAGCAAACAGGAUUUAGAUACC